AUUUUGCAUUUAUUAGAUAAUUUCCUUAGUGUUUUCCUGGCCGACCUGUGCUGGUAUUGUAAUUAAGAGCUAAUACACCAUUCUCUGGUGAACUGCAGCUGCGGCCGAAUUUGAUUGUGUGCAUCAUCCUGCAGAUAUUUUGAAAUUUUGUGGACGCUUCUGCUGUGCUGCGUUCCU
rnacentral:lncRNA from 1 species